rnacentral:misc_RNA from 1 species
AAGCCUAAUUGGAAAAGUAAAGGGCUGUGAUUCAUAGAAAUUUUUGCUAGAUCUACUGGAAACAAAAAGAAUAUGAGAAAUAUUGAUUGCAAUUAGAAUUUUACUUAUCUGUAUGAAUUUCUUUUUAUUUUCUUGCAAGGGCUGAAUUUUGAAUAGUAGCUGAUGCUUUUAGAACAAAAUUUCUAUUCUAGUAUUGAUUCAAGCUGUCAGAGUUCUUUUAUUAUUUGUUAAAAUGUAUAGUUUAG